ensembl:lncRNA
GUAAAAUGUAAUUUCAGACGAUCUAGUAAAGUUUCAGUGUGCGGACUUGUGGAAACCUGCAGGAUUAAGUUUGAGGGGGAGAUUUUGAUAGCACAGAAAUUAGAGAGUCUCACGCCCAUGUUUCAGGACUGCUUCCAAAGCAAAACACAUGCAUUCACUGAUGAAGGUCAAGUCAAGAGGCAAGCCGGCAAGCCGAGAAGAGCACUGUGUAUCGUUGUCAUCACUAAUCAUGUCAAAGACCUCAUGUCUUAUUCACUGCUCUUCCUGCAGACAGACUAGGAGAAGUGAAGCCUUGAUCUCACCAAGCUGCCGUCUGAACCACUCUUGAUGGAUUUCCAAAUUCUCAUAGACAACAGAAGGGUUUCGCAGAAGCUUUCUUUUUUUGCACAGAAGCCAUUUGGUUUUUCAUUUGCUGAAUGGAACAGAGAGGCGUGUCUCUUUCAAGGGAGGAACACCUGUUCAACAGUCCCGUUUUCUAACCUUUUCUUUAUUUAUUACAAGGAUGCCUCUUGCCAGGGUUUUUAAAGCCAUAUAUCAACAGUAUAAUAUCGUUGUGGACCUGAUUCAUCAGCAUAGCUUGAAUUAUACCAAUGCAGACUUGGUGAUAAUUAGUUUUAUUUAAGAUCAAGACAAUAUUUACUAAUAAUAUAGCAAUGUGAAGUACCACUUAGAACUGCUGCCUGCAAUAAUUGAUUUAAAUGGUUAUUUAUACCACUGGAAUAGUGUUCAAAGUUCAUCUGUGCUGGUGCUGUAUUAAAUAUGUGUUUCUUAUGGUGU